rnacentral:rRNA from 1 species
GAUGAACGCUGGCGGCGUGCCUAAUACAUGCGAGUCGAGCGAACGGACGAGAAGCUUGCUUCUCUGAUGUUAGCGGCGGACGGGUGAGUAACACGUGGAUAACCUACCUAUAAGACUGGGAUAACUUCGGGAAACCGUAGCUAAUACCGGAUAAUAUUUUGAACCGCAUGGUUCAAAAGUGAAAGACGGUCUUGCUGUCACUUGUAGAUGGAUCCGCGCUGCAUUAGCUAGUUGGUAAGGUAACGGCUUACCAAGGCAACGAUGCAUAGCCGACCUGAGAGGGUGAUCGGCCACACUGGAACUGAGACACGGUCCAGACUCCUACGGGAGGCAGCAGUAGGGAAUCUUCCGCAAUGGGCGAAAGCCUGACGGAGCAACGCCGCGUGAGUGAUGAAGGUCUUCGGAUCGUAAAACUCUGUUAUUAGGGAAGAACAUAUGUGUAAGUAACUGUGCACAUCUUGACGGUACCUAAUCAGAAAGCCACGGCUAACUACGUG